GUGGGUGGAGUUGACUGUCAGAUCGCAUUCAGCAUUGUUCCAUUGGCCUAAAUUUGAGUUGCAGGUAAACCAAGUGCGUUCGAUAACUCCCAAUUUCUCUGACCACCCGCUGAGUUAUUGAGUUUGCCAAAGCACAUAUCAUUAAUCUGUUGAGCGUGCAAUUGAGGUGAACCAAAUUUGCAUCAUUCAAUGACAACGUCUUCAUGGAGAUGUGAAGAGCGAAGAUCCAUUAGAGAUAGAUGAUAUAUAGUUGUACAUAAUCACAUGCAGCUCCUCUCCUGUCCACACCUACCCCUCACUCCCUCACCUGGCCAAAAAAAAAAUAAAGCUAGUUUAUUGUUCUGUCACGCGCUCGGACAACGGACAGCGGACAGCGGAUAGCGGACAACGUCAUCAAGUGGUCUUCUUAUUGUUGUUGUUUCUCUUGUGGUUUUUAGUUUUUAGCUUUACAUUCACUUUUUUUUCGCAUCCGCAUCCACUGCUGCUACCGAACCGGACGGGCCUCAAGAAGUGCUCUUCACGGUGUUUUCGGUACUAGCUCUGGUACUGGGUACGAAAAAUAUCAGAU